CGAGGCUUGAGACUCUGUUCAGCAUUUCAUAACCACCGGGAUAACACUAAUUUCCAUCUCAGAAAAUUCAAUACAGACUGGCAUAUAGUCCUCUUAGUGUAUUUCCAAUGUCAUCUGCUAUGAAGAAUAAUUUAAACAAAAGACUAAUAUGUGAAGGGAAGAAAAACAGGUCACUCAAGCCUCUGUUCUCUUAUUCAUAUGUAGUCAUUUGCCUGAGAUCUAUUACGGACGUGCUACGUGAAAUGAGAAGUAAGAAGGUGAUUGUCUGGAAUGUUAGUAAUCACGAGCAAGACUGUCACUGAAAGGAUGGCUGAUUUUCUACAGAUAAUGGAAUAAAGGAUGAGAGUGAUAAAAACGCAGCGCGAUGACAUGAAGUUGAGGCCGGAAGAAGCACGCUCUAUCGUGCGAAAGGCCGGCAUCGCCUCUGAGCGCUCCCGUGAUGCGUCCUCGGUAACCUGCUGCUUGUGACCCGGACUCCGGUACUGCCUGACGUUCCUUGCAGUCAUCUCUAACCAAUCUGUUGUGAAAGGAAAAUUGAUUGCUUCAAGGACCAAAGAGAAAGAAGGGGACGUGUCCUUCGAAGUCAAAUGUAAUAUCAAUUUACAAGCAGGCAUAAAAAACUUUUUUUCUUUAACCCCUUAAUGAACCACUGAAUUUGUUUGUCUAUUCCUAUUUGAGCAGCCAAAAGUUUACUUGUUAUUUUUUUUUUUAUAGACCUACAAUGCCUUGUUUUAUACGGCAUCAAUUGAUUUUUUUGUAUGGGGUGCAUAUAAAUUAUGGUGAUUUGGUGAUUAUGGUGAUAAAUUAUGGUCAUUUAUAUAUUUAUUUAUUGCCAGCAUGAACACCGUAAGUAGGCUGUUGUUUUUUUUAUUUUUUUAUUUAGUCUUA